AUCCCACCAAAACCAUCGGUCUCUCUCAUUCUUCAAAAAAAAAGUAAAUUCCCACAUUUAGGAUAUAAAUCCCUAGAUCCCCCUUUCUCUCGGCGAAAUCGCGCCGUCAGAUCCUCGGCGUCACAGGGUCUCCGGUGACUUGUUCUAGCACCCUCCGUCUCCGUCCAGCCCUCUCUUGGAUUCAUCGCCAGAAUCGGUUCACUUCACUGCGGCAUCACAGUGUGUCGCCGCCGUCGUCGCACAUCACCGGAGCUCGGCGGAUUCGCGCCGUCGGAACUGGGGAGGUGUCGCCUCCUUCCGCGCGCACAGCUCCACCGCCUCCGUGACUUCCUCCAUUUCUCUCGCUGAGUUCCAUCCCAAGGCGACACUGCGCCAGAACAGCCGCCGCCGUUGGCCGUGCACAGGCGGCGGUCUUGCUGCUGUCCUAGAAACUCCGUCGCCGCCGGCAGUCAAGUGUGCGGCGUCGACUUCGUCCUCUGAUGACCGAAGUCAGUAGCUGCCGUAGCGGCGCCUCUCCGUUUCUCAACCGACUACCAAGCUCACCUCCUCAACUCUCAAGCUAAGUCACCCCCCAUCUUUAAAUUUUAUCAUGUUGAGAGUUGGAUGAAAGGGGCAGUAGCACAUUUAUUUGGUUUGGGUAAGUUCUUAGAUUAGCAUAUUUUGGCUUGCUCGAUUCUUGUCUAAACCAAGAGUUUUUGCUCACUGAAAAGAAAGUUGGUUUCAUUGAGUAAUUGGUCUCGGCUUUGGGUUAUGAGCAUGUGAAGAUUUCUCUGGUUCGGUGUUCAUCAGUGUACAUGUUUAAAGAACUUAGGGAUUUAAGUUGGUAUGGAAUGUUUAUUUACUACUAAGCAUGAGACUGUUUCUAGUGUGGCUCCAGUUGUUUAUACUUUAUGUUGUGAUGUCCUUAUCACUAUCAUGCUGUGAUUCAUAGUAUGAGGUUCUACUACAUGAUGACAGGACAUAUUAUUUGAGCUUGAAAGGGAGGUGGAGGUUACCUUCUUGAUAAAGCAGUUCCUAACAGCAAACUUUCCAACUCUUGCUAUUUUGCUGGAAGAUUUUUUUUUCUAGUAUGUGGGAGGGGGUUUGAUGCGAAUGAAGGGUUUUCCUUUAUAAGCAACCAGUGGUGUACUUGGGAGAAAUUAAUGGCUGCCAAAACUCUUUGUUUUCUCUUUACUGAAAAUCCCUGUUGUGAUCCUCACCCCUCCUUUUACAUAACUGCAGUUUGGCUCCAUAUGGGUACUUAGUACUUAGUAAAUAAAUGAAAAUGUCUGUUGUGGAAGGUUCAUAGGCAUAAUGCAGGUGCUGCAAUGAGAAGUGGAGGUUGCAGGAUUUGACUUACUCUCUUUGGUGGGGAAGGUGUCUUGGCUGCUAUUAGGCUGACAGCUCCCCUCCAACAGGCCGAACUAACAGGCCUCGAAAUGGGUGUGACUUGGGCUUGCACGGACUAGGCCCAAAAGCAUUUCUAUUUUCUUAAAUUCCUUCCCAUCAACCUAUGUGUAAAAAGAAUGAUGUAAGUAGAGAGUAGUUUGAUAUGUAAUUAAACUUUCGAGUUCAGAAAUGUAACCUUAUAUUCUUUCUUGUCA